rnacentral:rRNA from 1 species
AUUGAACGCUGGCGGAAUGCUUUACACAUGCAAGUUGAACGGCAGCACGGGGCAACCUGGUGGCGAGUGGCGAACGGGUGAGUAAUAUAUCGGAACGUGCCCAAUCGUGGGGGAUAACGUAGCGAAAGUUACGCUAAUACCGCAUACGAUCUACGGAUGAAAGCGGGGGAUCGCAAGACCUCGCGCGAAUGGAGCGGCCGAUAUCAGAUUAGGUAGUUGGUGGGGUAAAGGCUCACCAAGCCAACGAUCUGUAGCUGGUCUGAGAGGACGACCAGCCACACUGGAACUGAGACACGGUCCAGACUCCUACGGGAGGCAGCAGUGGGGAAUUUUGGGACAAUGGGCGCAAGCCUGACU